AUUGAACGCUGGCGGCAGGCUUAACACAUGCAAGUCGAGCGGGGGAAGGUAGCUUGCUACCGGACCUAGCGGCGGACGGGUGAGUAAUGCUUAGGAAUCUGCCUAUUAGUGGGGGACAACAUCUCGAAAGGGAUGCUAAUACCGCAUACGUCCUACGGGAGAAAGCAGGGGAUCUUCGGAACUUGCGCUAAUAGAUGAGCCUAAGUCGGAUUAGCUAGUUGGUGGGGUAAAGGCCUACCAAGGCGACGAUCUGUAGCGGGUCUGAGAGGAUGAUCCGCCACACUGGGACUGAGACACGGCCCAGACUCCUACGGGAGGCAGCAGUGGGGAAUAUUGGACAAUGGGGGGAACCCUGAUCCAGCCAUGCCGCGUGUGUGAAGAAGGCCUUAUGGUGGUAAAGCACUUUAAGCGAGGAGGAGGCUACUCUAGUUAAUACCUAGGGAUAGUGGACGUUACUCGCAGAAUAAGCACCGGCUAACUCUGUGCCAGCAGCCGCCGUAA
rnacentral:rRNA from 1 species